UGCACACGUACUACAAUGCCCAGCACAAUGAGAACCGAGACCGCGAGGUGGAGGAAAUCUGCAAAACUGGGCCCAGUUCGGAUUGGAGGCUGCAACUCGCCUCCAUGAAGCCGGAAUCGCUAGUAAUGACGCAUCAGCUACGGCGUCGUGAAUACGUUCCCGGGUCUUGUACACACCGCCCGUCACAUCAUGGAAGCCGGUCGCACCCGAAGUGCCUGAGCCAACCGCAAGGA
rnacentral:rRNA from 1 species